AGGACGAACGCUGGCGGCGUGCUUAACACAUGCAAGUCGAGCGGUAAGGCCUUUCGGGGUACACGAGCGGCGAACGGGUGAGUAACACGUGGGUGAUCUGCCCUGCACUCUGGGAUAAGCCUGGGAAACUGGGUCUAAUACCGGAUAUGACCUGCUCUCGCAGUGGGGGUGGGUGGAAAGAUUUAUCGGUGCAGGAUGGGGCCCGCGGCCUAUCA
rnacentral:rRNA from 1 species